rnacentral:rRNA from 1 species
UACGGGGGGGGCAAGCGUUGUUCGGAAUUACUGGGCGUAAAGGGUGCGCAGGCGGUUCUGCAAGUCAGUCGUGAAAUCCCCGGGCUUAACCUGGGAAUGGCGCUUGAAACUACGGGACUGGAGUAUGGCAGAGGGAGGUGGAAUUCCACGUGUAGCGGUGAAAUGCGUAGAGAUGUGGAGUAACACCGAUGGCGAAGGCAGCCUCCUGGGCCAAUACUGACGCUCAUGCACGAAAGCGUGGGGAUCAAACAGG